rnacentral:rRNA from 1 species
UACGAAGGGGGCUAGCGUUGUUCGGAAUUACUGGGCGUAAAGCGCGCGCAGGUGGUCUUUCAAGUCAGUGGUGAAAGCCCGGAGCUCAACUCCGGAAAUGCCAUUGAAACUGUAAGACUUGAGGAUGAGAGAGGUGAGUGGAAUUCCCAGUGUAGAGGUGAAAUUCGUAGAUAUUGGGAAGAACACCGGUGGCGAAGGCGGCUCACUGGCUCAUAUCUGACGCUGAGGCGCGAAAGCGUGGGGAGCAAACAGG